UACGUAGGUGGCAAGCGUUGUCCGGAAUUAUUGGGCGUAAAGCGCGCGCAGGCGGUCCUUUAAGUCUGAUGUGAAAGCCCACGGCUCAACCGUGGAGGGUCAUUGGAAACUGGAGGACUUGAGUACAGAAGAGAAGAGCGGAAUUCCACGUGUAGCGGUGAAAUGCGUAGAGAUGUGGAGGAACACCAGUGGCGAAGGCGGCUCUUUGGUCUGUAACUGACGCUGAGGCGCGAAAGCGUGGGGAGCGAACAGG
rnacentral:rRNA from 1 species